UGGGGAAUAUUGGACAAUGGGGGCAACCCUGAUCCAGCCAUGCCGCGUGUGUGAAGAAGGCCUUUUGGUUGUAAAGCACUUUAAGCAGUGAAGAAGACUCCAUGGUUAAUACCCAUGGACGAUGACAUUAGCUGCAGAAUAAGCACCGGCUAACUCUGUGCCAGCAGCCGCGGUAAUACAGAGGGUGCAAGCGUUAAUCGGAAUUACUGGGCGUAAAGCGAGCGUAGGUGGCUUGAUAAGUCAGAUGUGAAAGCCCCGGGCUUAACCUGGGAACGGCAUCUGAUACUGGUAGGCUAGAGUAGGUGAGAGGAAGGUAGAAUUCCAGGUGUAGCGGUGAAAUGCGUAGAGAUCUGGAGGAAUACCGAUGGCGAAGGCAGCCUUCUGGCAUCAUACUGACACUGAGGUUCGAAAGCGUGGGUAGCAAACA
rnacentral:rRNA from 1 species